CCCUAGAGUUUCAGCUCGAGAGUUUGAUCCUGGCUCAGGACGAACGCUGGCGGCGUGCUUAACACAUGCAAGUCGAGCGGAAAGGCCCUUCGGGGUACUCGAGCGGCGAACGGGUGAGUAACACGUGAGUAACCUGCCCCGAACUUUGGGAUAACCCUCGGAAACGGGGGGUAAUACCGAAUACGACACGGCAUCGCAUGAUGUCCGGGUGGAAAGUUUUUCGGUUCGGGAUGGACUCGCGGCCUAUCAGCUUGUUGGUGGGGUAAUGGCCUACCAAGGCGACGACGGGUAGCCGGCCUGAGAGGGCGACCGGCCACACUGGGACUGAGACACGGCCCAGACUCAUACGGGAGGCAGCAGUGGGGAAUAUUGCACAAUGGGCGGAAGCCUGAUGCAGCGACGCCGCCUGAGGGAGGACGGCCUUCGGGUUGUAAACCUCUUCAGCAGGACGAAGCGCAAGUGACGGUACUGCAGAGAGUCCGAUCCC
rnacentral:rRNA from 1 species